rnacentral:rRNA from 1 species
GCGUUAAUCGGAAUUACUGGGCGUAAAGCGUGCGCAGGCGGUUCUCCAAGUCCGUUGUGAAAGCCCCGGGCUCAACCUGGGAAUGGCAGUGGAAACUAGGGGACUUGAAUCUGGCAGAGGGGGGUGGAAUUCCACGUGUAGCAGUGAAAUGCGUAGAGAUGUGGAGGAACACCGAUGGCGAAGGCAGCCCCCUGGGCUGAGAUUGACGCUCAGGCACGAAAGCGUG